rnacentral:rRNA from 1 species
GUAUUAGUGGUAUCUGAGGGGCUACUUUGGGCAUGAUAAAUUUGUCUAUGUCUAUAGUCCCAAUAUGAACGGCUUAAAAUUUACACAUGCUGUUGUUGACUUGACCUCAAAUCAGGUAGGACUACCCGCUGAACUUAAGCAUAUCAAUAAGCGGAGGAAAAGAAACUAACAAGGAUUCCCCUAGUAACUGCGAGUGAAGCGGGAAAAAGCUCAAAUUUGAAAUCUGGCAGUUUUCAACUGUCCGAGUUGUAAUCUAGAGAAGUGUUACCUGUGCU